AAGAUCCUGCGAUGUACGUAAGACCGUAAAUGUUUCUAACCUUAUACGUGUUUUUCGGGAGACGGAAAUUUGCGUUGGAUGUCAGGCCCACCUCCCUUUUGGGGAUGCAUGGGAAGGCUGAAGGGCAGAAGGGUCACCCACCUGUGUGAGCGCAGGUUAUAGAAACAUGAGGUCAACGGCAGAGCGGGGACUUG
rnacentral:other from 3 species